ensembl:lncRNA
GGGUGUUCACAGUCCAUGUUAGAUCGUCAGUAAGGUGUAUUCCCAGGAAUAUCAUGAUGUCAAUUUGAGACGCACUUUGUCCCUUCGUGCACUUCCUGUCUACCUGCGUGAGGAUGUUUCUGUGUUCAAGACCUGCAAUGAGGAAGAGGAGCCAGAUUUUGAUGAUGCUCCUGUUGCUCUCCUUACAUCGGGUCCCGACCCCUUCAGCUGCGAGAACAUCUUUGAAUUGGGUGCAGAGGUUUUCUGAGGCAUUUAUGCUGUUGUUUGGCCUGACAUAUGCUUUCAAUUUAGAAUAUCCCAAAAAACUCACGCACACAUUCUCAUACAGAACAUUUGUAUGUGUCUGGAUGACAACAAACCUCUGAAACGGUCCUUACUCACCUUA